UGGAAAGUUGAGAUUGUUGAUGUUUAAGAUACUUGAUAUAUGUGGAGAGCUUAGGUUUUUGUUUAAACAUGUUUAUAGAGAAAACUUUUAUGUGCUUUUACUCUCAUUUUGAUAAUAAAAUGAAGUAACUUUCCUUAAAAAUAAAAUCGCCUAUUUUGUUACUUUUUCAUCUAAGCACAAGGAACAUAGUAUACAUUCCCUAGAUUAACUUUUUUCUAUAAAUUUUUU
rnacentral:lncRNA from 1 species